rnacentral:rRNA from 1 species
GACGAACGCUGGCGGCGUGCUUAACACAUGCAAGUCGAACGGUAAGGCCCUUCGGGGUACACGAGUGGCGAACGGGUGAGUAACACGUGGGUGAUCUGCCCUGCACUUCGGGAUAAGCCUGGGAAACUGGGUCUAAUACCGGAUAGGACCACUGCCUGCAUGGGUGGUGGUGGAAAGCUUUUGCGGUGUGGGAUGGGCCCGCGGCCUAUCAGCUUGUUGGUGGGGUGAUGGCCUACCAAGGAGACGACGGGUAGCCGGCCUGAGAGGGUGGCCGGCCACACUGGGACUGAGAUACGGCCCAGACUCCUACGGGAGGCAGCAGUGGGGAAUAUUGCACAAUGGGCGCAAGCCUGAUGCAGCGACGCCGCGUGAGGGAUGACGGCCUUCGGGUUGUAAACCUCUUUCAGCACCGACGAAGCGCAAGUGACGGUAGGUGCAGAAGAAGGACCGGCCAACUACGUGCCAGCCGCCGCAGUAA